CAUUCGCACGCAUCCAACAGCAUCACCGUGAAUAAUUCGCGUGAGUUUGUGGGUGGAGGUGGAGAUCGUAUCGAACCCUCCAUGCAGAAACUCGAGGGCGGCGGGGCAGGAAGGGAGUCUUUGAGCAUACUUCUGGUGUGACUCUCUGUCUCGGCUUCCUGUCUUCGUCGUCAUUCUUUCCUGCAUCAGGAUCUUGCUCCUAUGUUCUUUCUUAAGUGGAUUUCCACUUUAUCUUCAUUACAACUUUCAGCGACGGAUGUCUCGGCUCGAACAACGAUGAAGGGCGCAGCGAAGUGUGAUAAGCAUUGUGAAUUGCAGAAUUCCGUGAACCAAUAGGGAUUUGAACGUACACUACGCUUUCGGGAUAUCCCUGAAAGCAUGCCUGCUUCAGUGUCUACUCCAUCUAAUGCCAGUGGUCUAAUCCUCCUUGUGUGGGUUGGCUGCUUGUGCGUCUCUGUGUGUUAGGGUGCACCUUGUGUGCCCCUGACACAUCCAAUUCAUGGGGACUUGAUCACCAUUGCACAACUUUGCUAAASCGUCUCUGAUGCCUCUUUGUUGCUGCUCUUGUAAUCUCUAUCCCCUUCCCCUCUCUGGUCCUUGUGACCUCCUUCCAAGACAUGAAGGUUAGGUCAGCAAACCCCGCUGAA
rnacentral:rRNA from 1 species